UCGGGAGUUAGCUCGCUUAGAGGGGGAGCGCGAGAAAGAAAGGGCUAUGUUUUGGCUGGCAGGAGAUAAAAUAAAAUUCAAACUCACUUAUCCGUGGAACCUGCACCAGAUAGUACUGCAUACUUAUACCUACAUACUUAGACUGUGACCAAUCCUCUGGUAAAGAAAUGCCACUCUUGAUAAGGGAAAUAGCGAGAACCGG
rnacentral:misc_RNA from 1 species